UGUUAUCCUUAAUAAAAGUUCCCUAUUGUUCUUAAUUUCAAAAUUAGACUGGAUUAUAUCGUUUUCUUUAAUAGAAAAUUGAGGGCAUUUUAACAGCAAAGGGCCUCCGUAUAAUGGAGUAAUCACUUAGGAACAGUAUAAUUACAUAAAAUCCUGAGAAUGCGGAAGGAUGGUUGAAAUCUUGGCAGCUUUUAGCAAAUUUUCUGAAUAUUGUGGUGAAAGAAUACACUAUAGGGCAAAAAUUUUCCAGGGCAUAACUAAUAUAUCGGCACUGGCCAGAAAUAUAGGGCAAAAAUUGAAAUUUUAUUCAAACAUCUCAACACAACACAACAGAGGAAACAAAUACAAGGAUUCGCAUAGGACGAAGCACAUGGUGCAGACAAAACUUAGACUUAGACUUGGGAUGAUUUGAAGAGAGAAGUGGAUUCUCUUUCGACAGCUUUCAUGAGUAAACUAUUCUCUUCCAGGGCCAUUUGAACAGGCAAAAAUCCGAGACCAUCCGCCAUGGCAAGCAUCAUCUGCUUCAUCUCCGCCUUGAAUUCCUCCAUAUCAACACUGCCAUUGGAGUCAUGAUCAAACAGCAAGAACAGAUCAUCAUAAACGUGAGCAAGCUCAUCUGGAUCAGUUUUCACAUCAAUCCCGAAAUGAGUUUCCAGGACCCUGAGACUCUGCAGCUCUUUCAGCAUCUCUGCAUACGAUAAAACCCCGUUGUGAUCCGUGUCAAGAAGCACGAAACGCUCAUGAACAGAGCCGGUGAAUGCUUCAUCGUCUUCCACAAAGCUCACAAUAGUGGCACCAUCUAAAACAUGUACACUCAUUCUUAUAUUUCAGCUUGUGAUUUUACAGGUAAUGGAAAAGGAAA